AGGACGGAUUGUUGUACUUGGAU
rnacentral:miRNA from 1 species